CACCACUCCGGCCUGGCUGGGUGUUGGGCGUCGCGGCUCGCCGCGCGCCUCAAAGUCCUCUUUUUCCGGCUGAGCGACCCGUCUCCAAGCGUUGUGGUUACACCAUCGCGGCGAGCGCGGGGCGUCGGCGGCCGUUAAAUCUCCAUAUAA
rnacentral:misc_RNA from 1 species